CAAAAAUAAAUAAAUAAAUAAAUUGAUGGGUGCAGAAGAUCAUCAAAAACCCUAAAAAUCUGCAUUUCUCUAGUAAACCCCAUCAAAAUGGCUGACUCUGUAUUGCACAAAGAAGAAGGAUCAAUGCCAGAAACUGAAAAUAAAGACGAAUCCACAUUGCCUUCCAAGCGUAAACUCGAUUCACUUCCAGUUUCAGAUGGCAAAGAAGCAGUCCCAGAAGAUCAACCUAACAAAACUCAAAAGCUCCAAUCUCUCACCCACAACGGCAAUUCACUGGUCAUCGAGGAGAAAAUCACCGGAAACCAACCGCUACUACCUUCUAAUGACAAUUCCUGCGCCAAUUCUUCCAUUCCCCAAGAGAAAAGCAGCAGUAAAGCUGUGGCAGAAGAUGACGACACCAGAGAAGGAGAAGAAGAAGAAGAAGAUGAUGAUGGAGAUUAUGAGGAUGAGGAAGAGGAGGAGGAAGACAACGGAGAGGCGGCUGUGGUGGAUAGGAAAGGUAAGGGGAUAAUGGUAGAAGAGGAGGAAGAUGAUGAUAGUGAUGAUGACGACAUUGAUUCGAGUGAUGGUGGAAGUGAAUUGGACGGUGAUGGCAGUGAGCUAGAGGAUGAUCCUUUGGCUGAGGUUGAUCUGGAUAACAUUCUACCGUCGAGGACGCGGCGACGGGCUGCGCAGCCUGGGGUUUAUGUUGCUAACGACCAUGGUAACGAUGACGAUGAUAGCGAUGAUAGUGAUGCCUGAUUCAAGGCAGGUCAGUUGAAAAUUGAGGUUAUUGGUUACUGAAUUUGGGGUUUACUAAUUAGUGUUAGUGAUUUUGGUGAGACUAUAUCUAUUUCACAUUUCUUAGAUUCAAUGCAGGAAGAUUAUUGGACAAAUGUUGUAACUUUGAUUAGUUUUUAUCUUCUCUUUUUCUUCUUCUUCUUCUUCUUCUUUGCAUUUAGAGUAAUAUCCCAUCACAAUUUAUCGAAAAUUGUAGAAUUUUCGAUUUGUUAUUUUGUUUCUCCUUUUGAAUUGUAUUGAAUAAACAGCAUAGGGAAGAUAGACCAACAAAGAAGUUUCAACCAUUCGGAGUUUAUUCUACUAAUUGGUGAUGUUCCCUUGGGAGUUUUCUUUUGCUUUAUCAAAACUCUGUAAUUUCUUGAAAGAAAGAAACGAUCCUUAGGCAAUUGAUGUAUGUUUGGAGACAAACAAACACUUGGAUGCAAGUUACACUAGAUUAGCUGCCUUUAGUGGAUUAUUAUUACCACAUAUAAGCCUUGUUCUCCAGCUUAGUCAAAACUGACGUAUAGGAAAAGUUAAAACAUAGAGAUAUAGAAAGUCUAUCAAUUCAUGAUGCGGAAAUUGAGUAAUGCAUUUAGAAGUGGCCAUCCCCUAUGUAUUGUAGAAUCCACCAUUGAUACACGUGUUUCUACGCUGACAAGUCCAGCUUUGUUCUGUAUCUUCAUGAGAAAUUGAGUUUCGCAUACUUCUCUUAUUCCCCACCCUAAACUCUGCUGGGGUGUGCUUAGGAUAUGAUUUUAUCUCUGGCAAAUAUCUAGUGAGGAGUGCAAUUUGCUACCAUGGUACCGUUAGAUUAUGCUUUUAUUGAGAUGCAUGUUGAGUGUGCAAUUACCCUAUUAAAGAGAGGGAAAUAAUGGUAUUAGUUUGUUCUUGUAAAAGGUUGACUAAAGAGCUGUGUGUGUGUGUGUGUGUGUGUGUGCGUGUGCGUGCGCCCGUGUGUGUGUGUGUGUGUGUGUGUGUGUGUGUGUGUGUGUGAGAGAGAGAGAGAGAGAGAGAGAGAGAGAGAGAGAGAGAUUAUGUAACCCUUUAUGUGAAGUGUGUUUCUAGGAGAGAUCUUCCUUUCCAUAUGGUACUUAACACUAUACAAAAUUUUGAGGAUCCAAUAUGUGCUAAGAAGUAAAAAUUUUGGGUUUCUAAUGUGCCCUAAGUUUCGUGCAGUGUUAUCAUUGCAUUGGUAAAUGAUGUGAGGAGAUUAGUGAUUACAACUCUUUACAGGCAUAUAAUUUAGACUUUGAGAAAGAGGCUAAUGGGUUUGAUAGGUAUGGCAGUCCACUUUUCAAAAAUAAAGUUGAUUUACAAUGUUUGUCGCUUGCGCAUUUGUCUCUUGUAUAUAUCAAUACAAAGAUCUCUCUGUUUUUUCCUGAGCUUCCUUUUGAAUAAUUAUCAUUGAUUUUUAUCAUAGGUUAUCAAUGUUAAGAAACUAACUAGCCUAUCUUUUUGGUUUCUAGGGCCCUGGUUCCUUUUGGCAGCAGCCUUGUCUCAAGAUUUCGCUGCCUUUAUAGCAACUUAGUGGAUGCGUAUCCUGGAAGGUCAAGAAAGUUUACAUCAUAUAAAGCAACUGUAAACAUGAUUUCUUAUGUUGUGAAAUUACAAUGUGAUUUAGAGAUAUUAGAUUCCAAUUUUCUAGCUAGUUAUCUUUAAUUCAACAGUACUCAGAAUAACAUCACACUUGGUCUUGUUGAGUAGCAGAAUUUAGGCAUGCAACGUGUCAUCUGGUUCUGGUGUUGUGUU